rnacentral:snoRNA from 1 species
UUGGCCCUGAAUCAAGGCCAGCAGUUUGCUGUAGCUGCUGCUUUCAAGCAGGAGCCUAAAGAGAAGUCUUUCUACGGUCUGUUGGCCAUUUCAGAACUUUGGAGAUGAAAUGGUCAAUUCCUUAGAAAGAAACAGCU